ncrna:unclassified sequences L13-Bacteroidia ribosomal protein leader
GGGGAAUUACUUAGGUUCCCCGUGGGUGAUGUGUGUUAAUAGUCGUGCGUUUGGCCGCGCCGACGGUUAGUGAAUC